rnacentral:miRNA from 14 species
GAAGAGGAGGAGGAGGAAGAGUAUAUAUAUAUAUACUCUUCCUCCUCCUCCUAU